UACGUAGGGGGCAAGCGUUGUCCGGAAUUAUUGGGCGUAAAGCGCGUGUAGGCGGCUUUGCAAGUCGGGUGUGAAAGCCCUCAGCUCAACUGAGGAAGUGCGCCCGAAACUGCAGAGCUUGAGUGCCGGAGAGGGUGGCGGAAUUCCCCAAGUAGAGGUGAAAUUCGUAGAUAUGGGGAGGAACACCGGUGGCGAAGGCGGCCACCUGGACGGUAACUGACGCUGAGACGCGAAAGCGUGGGGAGCAAACAGG
rnacentral:rRNA from 1 species